UAUCCGCGACCUCAUACGUCAAAUCUAGAAUAGAAAAUGAAUUCUCGUUUGAAUACAUCAGAAAUGUGGCGCGGUAACGCCCAGCUAAUUAUGCGCGGCUGUUCCGAUGUGUAUAUAUACUCCAUCGUUCGGAACGGGGCUAGACAGGUUUGUCAACACACAUAAAUUAGCGGUGUAAUCAGCCUUGUGCCCUCCGUGAAGACUUCGGACGAGGACAACUUUGCAGUGUAACAUGGAAAUGUAUAGAGCUUUCUGUGUAGCCUUUCUGGUUGUUUUUAUCUUCUCUCAAACAGGCGAGACCAUUCCACUUCGUUUAAAAAGGGAUACGAAAAAAUAUGUUUCUCCAAUUGAAAAUUUCAUUAUUCUGACCAACAAAUACAGAGUGCAACUUGAGACAAUUCAGAACGCAACAGACCCAAAAAAUGGCACCGAAACAGCUAGUAAUAUAGCUGUCCAGAAUCUUCAAGAUAGCAACACACAAACUGAUGACGUCACAACUACACAGGGAACAACCUCCUUAAUUUAGACAAGCAAAUUGUCGUGAUUGCAAAAGCUAGGAGACUUUUUACUCUCCCAAACAAAACUUGCCCAAUGAAGAUAUGAAUAGGUGCGAGGCAAGGGGGAGUCUGUGUAAUCCAGUCGGAAGAAAUCCAAUUUUUUUAUUUCGUCUUCUGUUGUGUUUGCUGGCGAACAACAACUAGUGACUAUGAACUUGUAGACACAAUAUUUAUUUAUUACAAUUGCAGCUUUCAUUCUAUCAUUUCGUUCAUAAGUUUUCAUAUGUCAAAUUGUGUUUCAUUAAAUUAUUCUUCAUGAU